GACGUAGGAGGCGAGCGUUGUCCGGAUUCAUUGGGCGUAAAGAGCACGCAGGCGGUUUGGCAAGUCGGACGUGAAAAUCCGGGGCUCAACCCCGGACCUGCAUCCGAAACUGCCCGACUAGAGGUAGGUAGGGGAGAUCGGAAUUACUGGUGUAGCGGUGAAAUGCGCAGAUAUCAGGAGGAACACCGGUGGCGAAGGCGGAUCUCUGGGCCUUACCUGACGCUCAGGUGCGAAAGCUAGGGGAGCGAACAGG
rnacentral:rRNA from 1 species